rnacentral:misc_RNA from 1 species
GCACUUCUGGUACGUAGAGAUAUAGGUUUGAAGUACACUUUCAUUUGUUUAAUGUCUGCAACUCAGCCUUCAUAUUGAUCCAUCUAACCAGAAAUAGCUGUAUUGUUGCUGUGAUACUCUUAAUUUUCAAACCUUAAGUAGCUUCUUAUCCCACAUGUUAUUUAAGCAACUGUGGUUUAGACGUAGAUAAACAAAAAACAAUAUUACGAGCUGAAGCGGGUAAAAUGUCUUAAAUGAUUCUUUUGUAGCAGUGGGAUAUUAGUUAGAGCCUAGAGGCAACAAAAAUGAUAAUUAUCCUCUUUUCAAAUGAAGGGUAAGAUAUUUUCGAUAUCAUUCUGUGCUAUUAUGUGGUGGCCUUGGUGUCCAUGCAUCAUUGGUUUGAUAUGUGUGGCCCAGGAGAUGAAAUUUUGUGCCUUUUUCUUUGGAUCAAAUCCAAGAUAAUUAACAAUUAAUAUUUGGAGUCUGAAAUCAAUGUGAAUUAUGUUAUCAAAGAGCCCUUGCAAGGGGUGCUUGGAACU